rnacentral:rRNA from 1 species
GAUGAACGCUGGCGGCGUGCCUAAUACAUGCAAGUCGAGCGAACAGACGAGGCGCUUGCUCCGCUGACGUUAGCGGCGGACGGGUGAGUAACACGUGUAUAACCUACCUAUAAGACUGGGAUAACUUCGGGAAACCGGAGAUAAUACCGGAUAAUAUAUUGAACCGCAUGGUUCAAUAGUGAAAUACGGUUUUGCUGUCACUUAUAGAUGGAUCCGCGCCGCAUUAGCUAGUUGGUAAGGUAACGGGUUACCAAGGCGACGAUGCGUAGCCGACCGGAGGGGGGGGUCGGCCACACGAGAGCUGAGCCGCGGACCAGACUCCUGCGGUACGCAGCAGUCGGGAAUCUGCCGCAACGGGCGAAAGCCUUACAGAGCAACGCCGCGUGAGUGAUGACGGUCUUCGGAUCGGAAAGCUCUGUUAUUAGUGGAGAACAAAUGUGUAAGUAGCUAUGCACGUAUUGACGGUACCUGAUCAGAAAGCCCCGGCUAACUACGUG